ensembl:lncRNA
CUGACUCGAUGGACAUGAGUUUGGGUAAACUCUGGGAGCUGGUGAUGGACAGGGAGGCCUGGUGUGCUGUGGUUCAUGGGGUCGCAAAGAGUCGGACACAACUGAGCGACUGAACUGAACUGAACUGGGGUCUUAGACAUAGAGGCACUAGAAGGCAGUGGGGAGACUCUUGAUCACAAGAGCAUGUGUUUGCUGGUGAACAGGCUGCUAUCUAGGGUGUGUGGGUGUGUGAAGGGGCUCGAGUCAGUCUGAGGUCUCUCCAGGCAGUUGGCCACAGUGGAUACCAGGCAGCAGAACGAUGGAGUAUCUUAGCAAACUCUCAACAGGGAAGUCCCACAGUGAGGCUGCCUUGCUCAAGGCACACAGAGGGCCUGGCAUAAGGCCCGGCUCUGAGGAGGUGCCUGUUCUGCCUGCGUCUCUGCAUUUGCCUGUUUGGCAUCUGCUCCUCCCAGGGCCAGUGAUAUUAACUAGAUCGUUUGUAUGUGCACGCGUGCUCAGCCGUGUCCGACUCUUUGCAACCCCGUGGACUGUAGCCCACCAGGCUCCCCUGUCCAUGGAAUUUCCCAGGCAAGAAUACUGGAGUGGGUUGCCAUUUCCUGCUCCAGGGAAUCUUCCUGACCCAGGGAUCAAACUUGUGUCUCUUGGGUCUCCUGCAUGGGCAGGUGGAUUCUUUAUCAUUGCAUCACCUGGGAGCCCAUGAAUAGUCGAAGUGGUAACUGUUAAUAGUAAAAGUUGAUUGUGCAAAAGACAGUUCUUGAACAGAGAGCUUUCAAAGCAAAACACAGAAUAAGGCUCAGGGUAUGUUAUUAUAAAGCAGCUCGGACAGUGAGAGGCAGUUGACUGUAAUCUUUGCCGUGAUUGGUUAUGUUAAUAAUGCUGGGAUUUUCUUAAGUGAUAGGGAAUUGGUUCCCUCACACCAAUUCUGGGAAACAGUUUCAGCUGUGCUUAUGAUCCAGAGGCAGAAGGGAGGAAUGACCCCAGAAAAGACAUUAUGAAAAACAUACAGAUUUUAAAAGGACCAGAUGAAAAUUCUAACCACGGAAAGUAAAGACUGACACGUUUUGCAAGGACUCCCCUGGUGAUCUGCAGUGAAGACUCCACACUGCCAACGCAGGGAGUGCACCUGUGUGUAAAACUCAAGCUCUAGACCGCUUCCCCGGUAGUUCAGCUGGUAAAGAAUUCCUGGGUUGGGAAGGUCCCCUGGAGUAGGGAUAGGCUACUCACUCCAGUAUUCUUGGGCUUCCCUUGUGGCUCAGCUGGUAAAGAAUCUGCCUGUAAUGCAGGAGACCUGGGUUUGAACCUGGGCUGGGAAGAUCCCCUGGAGAAGGCAACGACUACCAUUCCAGUAUUCUGGUAUUCUGGCCUGGAGAAUUCCAUGGACUGUAUAGUCCACAGGGUCACAAAGAGUCAGACACGAUUGAGCGGCUUUCACUAAUAAUGCCAGACCACUGAGACCACUAGUCUACUACAGGGCACAGGCAGAACCACCCGCUCCCCUACCCAAAACCCCAGUCCCCUCCUCCAGGGUUUGCCUCCUUUUCCUCGGUCCCAGGGAUCUCUCUUCCCAUCUUGGGAGCUCAGCUAUGAAUUGAAAUUGCUGUCUGGCUUGUG